ensembl:lncRNA
GUUCCGGCGAGGGCAAGUCUCUUUGUCUCGUUACUCCGCUGGAGGGAAGACGCGGGGAAGACCCCCGGCCUGAAAACUUGGAAGUUCUCGGCUCUGCGCCCCUCACCCGCCAGAGUUCCGGACGAACUGGCCGGGCGCCGACCUCUGCUUGGCGCUGAAUAUGCGCAUAAUAAAAUACUUGCUGAAUGAAUGGGUGAGUGAAUGGGAUGGUGCUUGGCCAGCGCUGGGCACCUGACACACCCUCCCUUCUAACCCAGCCGAUAAGCAACGGGAUCAGGGCCUUCCUUGUCUGCUGAGACGUGGACUGUAAGUGUAUUGCAAGCUUUCAGAGUUAGACGAAAGCCCUCUGGCAGGAUGAUCAGCUGGGUGAACUCACAACCUUGCAAAAAUCCUUGGAGCGCCAGGAAGCUCAUAAGAGUUCUACUAAAAGACUGAUUUUUCCAGCCCUAACCUGCUUCUUCCGGUGAAAAAAAAAAUUUUUUUUUUUUUUUCUGUAACCAAGGCUAGGUUCCUGAAGACCUCCUUCAGAGUGACCCAGAAAUCCCAGGAUCUGGGUGAAUGCAAAUAGUUCAAUAGUUUGUUCUUUCUUUCGUUUGUUUGUUUAAAAGGUCAACGUCAUUUAUUCCCACAAGUUCUACAUCUUGUGGGACAGUAAAAUGCAGAGAAAGAAAGAAAACUUAGUUCUAAGACCUUUUGACCCCAACAACAUGCAAAUAACUCGUGGGUUUGCAAAUGAUUUCUCCGAAACAUCUGGCUUCUCAGAGCAAUAACUAUUCUACCCACAAAUACUGAUUAUACCCUACCUUACCACACACACACAAAAAAUAAGUGGACUCCCAAGCACAGGCCUCAAGGGUUUUCCCAUGUGUUGGAAGCACCUCUUUCCUCUCUUAGGAGGAAAAAAAAAUAGUCACAGUGUUUCUAGUACCAUGUAGAGCUAAACAAUUAACCCUUAAAUUGUACACUAUCAGAUUUUCUAGUUGUAUAGUUUAUCAUUUUAUAUACAUUAUAACUCGACCCCAUGGACUGUAGCCUAACAGGCUCCUCCCUCCAUGGGAUUCUCCAGGCAAGAGUACUGGAGUGGGUUGCCAUUUCCUUCUCUAGGGGAAUCUUCCCAACCCAGGGACCAAAGCUGGGUCUCCCACAUUCCAGGCAGACGCUUUAACCUCUGAGCCACCAGGAAAGCCCGAUGCUCAAACCAGUCGAUCCUAAAGGACAUCAACCCUGAAUAGUCAUUGGAAGGACUGACGCUGAAGCAGAAGCUCCAGCCACCUGAUGCGAAGAGCUGACUCAUUGGAAAAGACACGCUGGGAAGGACUGAAGGCGGGAGGAGAAGGCAUAACAGAGGAUGAGAUAGUUGGAUGGCAUCACCGACUCCACAGACAUUUCAACUAACAAUCGUCAUCACCUUGUACAUUAUAUUGCUAGUAUCUAUAAUGACAAGUUUGUACCUUUGACCACCUUCAUCCAGCUCCCCGAUUCAUCAAUAAACAUUGCUGAAUUAACAAGAAGACAUAUCAAGGUACUGAGUAUAAAAAAAAAGAAUGAAUUGUCUAGUCUUCAAAAACUUCCUGCAACCUCAAUUCAGUUCAGUCGCUCAGUCAUGUCCAACUCUUUUCGACCCCACGAACUGCAGUGCACCAGGCCUCC